rnacentral:miRNA from 1 species
UCUUGCUAUUGUGAAUUGUGCUGCUAUGAACAUCGAUGUAGCAGUGUCCCUGUAGUAUGCUAUUCCCCUUCUCGGUCUAUUCCCUAAAGACCUAAAAAUAGCAUACUACAGGGACACUGCUACAUCGAUGUUCAUAGCAGCACAAUUCACAAUAG